GUAUAAUGGGUCAGCGACUUAUAUUCUGUAGCAAGGUUAACCGAAUAGGGGAGCCGAAGGGAAACCGAGUCUUAACUGGGCGUUAAGUUGCAGGGUAUAGACCCGAAACCCGGUGAUCUAGCCAUGGGCAGGUUGAAGGUUGGGUAACACUAACUGGAGGACCGAACCGACUAAUGUUGAAAAAUUAGCGGAUGACUUGUGGCUGGGGGGGAAAGGCCAAUCAAACCGGGAGAUAGCUGGUUCUCCCCGAAAGCUAUUUAGGUAGCGCCUCGUGAAUUCAUCUCCGGGGGUAGAGCACUGUUUCGGCAAGGGGGUCAUCCCGACUUACCAACCCGAUGCAAACUGCGAAUACCGGAGAAUGUUAUCACGGGAGACACACGGCGGGUGCUAACGUCCGUCGUGAAGAGGGAAACAACCCAGACCGCCAGCUAAGGUCCCAAAGUCAUGGUUAAGUGGGAAACGAUGUGGGAAGGCCCAGACAGCCAGGAUGUUGGCUUAGAAGCAGCCAUCAUUUAAAGAAAGCGUAAUAGCUCACUGGUCGAGUCGGCCUGCGCGGAAGAUGUAACGGGGCUAAACCAUGCACCGAAGCUGCGGCAGCGACGCUUAUGCGUUGUUGGGUAGGGGAGCGUUCUGUAAGCCUGUGAAGGUGUGCUGUGAGGCAUGCUGGAGGUAUCAGAAGUGCGAAUGCUGACAUAAGUAACGAUAAAGCGGGUGAAAAGCCCGCUCGCCGGAAGACCAAGGGUUCCUGUCCAACGUUAAUCGGGGCAGGGUGAGUCGACCCCUAAGGCGAGGCCGAAAGGCGUAGUCGAUGGGAAACAGGUUAAUAUUCCUGUACUUGGUGUUACUGCGAAGGGGGGACGGAGAAGGCUAUGUUGGCCGGGCGACGGUUGUCCCGGUUUAAGCGUGUAGGCUGGUUUUCCAGGCAAAUCCGGAAAAUCAAGGCUGAGGCGUGAUGACGAGGCACUACGGUGCUGAAGCAACAAAUGCCCUGCUUCCAGGAAAAGCCUCUAAGCAUCAGGUAACAUCAAAUCGUACCCCAAACCGACACAGGUGGUCAGGUAGAGAAUACCAAGGCGCUUGAGAGAACUCGGGUGAAGGAACUAGGCAAAAUGGUGCCGUAACUUCGGGAGAAGGCACGCUGAUAUGUAGGUGAAGUCCCUCGCGGAUGGAGCUGAAAUCAGUCGAAGAUACCAGCUGGCUGCAACUGUUUAUUAAAAACACAGCACUGUGCAAACACGAAAGUGGACGUAUACGGUGUGACGCCUGCCCGGUGCCGGAAGGUUAAUUGAUGGGGUCAGCGCAAGCGAAGCUCUUGAUCGAAGCCCCGGUAAACGGCGGCCGUAACUAUAACGGUCCUAAGGUAGCGAAAUUCCUUGUCGGGUAAGUUCCGACCUGCACGAAUGGCGUAAUGAUGGCCAGGCUGUCUCCACCCGAGACUCAGUGAAAUUGAACUCGCUGUGAAGAUGCAGUGUACCCGCGGCAAGACGGAAAGACCCCGUGAACCUUUACUAUAGCUUGACACUGAACAUUGAGCCUUGAUGUGUAGGAUAGGUGGGAGGCUUAGAAGUGUGGACGCCAGUCUGCAUGGAGCCGACCUUGAAAUACCACCCUUUAAUGUUUGAUGUUCUAACGUUGACCCGUAAUCCGGGUUGCGGACAGUGUCUGGUGGGUAGUUUGACUGGGGCGGUCUCCUCCUAAAGAGUAACGGAGGAGCACGAAGGUUGGCUAAUCCUGGUCGGACAUCAGGAGGUUAGUGCAAUGGCAUAAGCCAGCUUGACUGCGAGCGUGACGGCGCGAGCAGGUGCGAAAGCAGGUCAUAGUGAUCCGGUGGUUCUGAAUGGAAGGGCCAUCGCUCAACGGAUAAAAGGUACUCCGGGGAUAACAGGCUGAUACCGCCCAAGAGUUCAUAUCGACGGCGGUGUUUGGCACCUCGAUGUCGGCUCAUCACAUCCUGGGGCUGAAGUAGGUCCCAAGGGUAUGGCUGUUCGCCAUUUAAAGUGGUACGCGAGCUGGGUUUAGAACGUCGUGAGACAGUUCGGUCCCUAUCUGCCGUGGGCGCUGGAGAACUGAGGGGGGCUGCUCCUAGUACGAGAGGACCGGAGUGGACGCAUCACUGGUGUUCGGGUUGUCAUGCCAAUGGCACUGCCCGGUAGCUAAAUGCGGAAGAGAUAAGUGCUGAAAGCAUCUAAGCACGAAACUUGCCCCGAGAUGAGUUCUCCCUGACCCUUUAAGGGUCCUGAAGGAACGUUGAAGACGACGACGUUGAUAGGCCGGGUGUGUAAGCGCAGCGAUGCGUUGAGCUAACCGGUACUAAUGAACCGUGAGGCUUAACCUU
rnacentral:rRNA from 1 species